UUCUUGUCCCUUCCAUAGCUUCAGGUUCAGUCUAUUGGAAAACGGUCAGCACAAUAAUCCCUAUCUCACUCAUUUUCCAGCAAAGAGGAAAAACAUUUCUUCCUUGAAGUUUCCAGCGGCAGUUACAGGAAGGAUUACAUGGCUUGCAGGAAAGAAGUACACUUGCACACAGGGAGAAGAAUGACCAAGACUGCUCCAGCCAGAAGUUCCCAAAGAGCAGCACGCAGAACAGAAGUCCUACAGAGUACAAGUAUUCUGGCACAAAUGCUCUCCACAAACAGGAAUGGCCACCAAAAUGCACAAAGAGUAGAUGCUGGGGACUUCACUGAGAGAACGGGCUGUUCAAGCUCUCCCCUUAGAAGAAAAUACAUAGGAAACAGUAUCACUAGUAGUUGGAAAACAUGGAUACUUCUUAAGACUUCAAGCAACACAUCAACAAUAGAUAAUACUUCACACAGAGGAAUAAUUCACAGGUUUUCUGCCAGAUGCAGCUGUACUGGAUAUUACCAAACUGCACAGGGAGAUUCAGCUGAAUUGUGAAGGGCCGUGAAGUUAAGGCUAAAACUCUAGAGGAAACGCAUGAUGCUUCAAGGUGCCUCCAGCCAGUGGAUGUUAUGUGGUGAGCAAAGUGGGAUGCUUUGCCCAGAACUUGGAUGAGAUGAGGAAAGUAAAGAAGAAAAACUGGAGACAAUGAUGCUCUGUCUGAUACUGGGGAAUCAUCACUGUGGGUGUAGAUGGCACUGUGUCACAACCUGCCUUUUCUCAAAGGACAGCACUUGGGCCAGUUUUUAAAGAUGACCAAGUAACUGGAGUUUUCUUCAACUAAAGACCCUCUUCAUCCAGAAAAUGAAGUACAAAAAGUCUUACAGUUCUCUCUAGAGAUCAGUUCAGGAGAAGUGCAGCCCAAACCAUCCAUCUCUGGAGAAGCACCACAAGCUUAUUCCUAUUUUUAUAGGUCUUUUUCUAUGAGAUGUUACAAGGGCUAUAUGCUGCCAAAUCAAUGGAGGAGGAGGCGCCCUGUUCCUGGGCUACAUGACUCAGGCUGCUGAGAACGGCACACCACACCCCGUGCUCUUCUGGCUGUGAAACACAUCUACUCAGAUGGGAAGAGUGUUUCAGUGACACCUCAUUCUGCUGGCAGGCUGCACAUGGAAUUAACAACAACAACAAAAGGAGUGGGACAUUUCUCAGUGGUUUACAAAACAAA